rnacentral:rRNA from 1 species
UGGCGGACGGGUGAGUAAUGUCUGGGAAACUGCCCGAUGGAGGGGGAUAACUACUGGAAACGGUAGCUAAUACCGCAUAACGUCGCAAGACCAAAGAGGGGGACCUUCGGGCCUCUUGCCACCGGAUGUGCCCAGAUGGGAUUAGCUAGUAGGUGGGGUAACGGCUCACCUAGGCGACGAUCCCUAGCUGGUCUGAGAGGAUGACCAGCCACACUGGAACUGAGACACGGUCCAG